AUAAUUACUCCUGAUGGAUAUCCAUGUAAACAUUCUCGGUUGUAAACUUGUAUUUCUAUUUAUGCUUUGAUCUUUCAUAUGUACUUGUGGUGAACAAUUUAACACCUGAUCAUGUAUUCUGAAAAAUUUUUAGGUGCUGAGGACAAAGAGAAGACACACAGAAGGACUGAGACAGAGGGUCUGAACUGGAAGGACAGAGACAGAUGGACAGAGCAGGAGAGGGGAUGACCUGAAAAGACCAGUUUGAGAUAAGGAAAACAAAGAUGUUGAUGGCUCCAAGCUUCUCCCUAGCCUGUCAAGCAAAAAGCAUAAGGACAAAAUGGAAAAGGCUCCAGCAAGUAAUCUUCUACUUUAUCUCCUGCUGUUUCAGAAUGAGGUGGAAACUUUCUCCAGUGCCCAUGUGUUGAAGACUCUUCCCCAUCUUUUCUUCUAUUAGUGUAGUGCCCACCUCGACCAGCAAGGAAGACACAUCACCGUUGGAUUCUACUCAACAGCCUUUAUUUCAGGAAAACCUCAUUCUUGAUGAGGGGGGCCCCGAGGGAAAAAAGGCACUCCCCCUAAAUACAAGAAAGGCUGUGGUUGUAAA